rnacentral:rRNA from 1 species
CCUACGGGUGGCAGCAGUGGGGGAUAUUGCACAAUGGGGGAAACCCUGAUGCAGCGAAGUCGCGUGAGGGAAGAAGUAUUUCGGUAUGUAAAGCUCUAUCAGCAGGGAAGAAAAUGACAGUACCUGACCAAGAAGCCACGGCUAACUACAUGCCAGCAGCCGCGGUAAUACGUAGGGGGCAAGGGUUAUCCGGAUUUACUGGGUGUAAUGGGAGCGUAGACGGUUAGUUAAGUCUGGAGUGAAAGCCCGGGGCCCAACCCCGGGACUGCUUUGGAAACUGGGUAACUGGAGUACAGGAGGGGCAGGCGGAAUUCCUGGUGUAGCGGUGAAAUGCGUAGAUAUCAGGAGGAACCCCGGCGGCGAAGGCGGCCUGCUGGACUGAAACUGACGUUGAGGCUCGAAAGCGUGGGGAGCAAACAGGAUUAGAUACCCUGGUAGUC